GACGAACCUUGCUAACGUUAUUCGGAAUUACUGGGCGUAAAGCGCACGUAGGUGGCGACGUAAGUCGGGUGUGAAAGCCCCGGGCUCAACCUGGGAAUUGCAUUCGAGACUGCAUUGCUGGAGUACGGAAGAGGAAGGCGGAAUUCCCGGUGUAGCGGUGAAAUGCGUAGAUAUCGGGAGGAACAUCAGUGGCGAAGGCGGCCUUCUGGUCCAGUACUGACACUCAAGUGCGAAAGCGUGGGGAGCAAACAGG
rnacentral:rRNA from 1 species